UAGCUGUAUUUUUCAUUUCUUUACUACAAUUAUAUAACCAACACACUUAUUUUCAGAUUAUUCUUUAUUCAUAAACCAAAUAUUAAGAUUAGUUACACAACAUACGUUUGGCAAAAUGAGUUGCAACCCUUCUAUCUUGUUGAUUUGCUUUCACAAGAGACACACCACACAAAUCUACAAAACAUUGUUAAAGCAAAUGAACUUAAAAUUAGAAAAAUAUAAACAUUGCGAGCGAGACUGUGAGG
rnacentral:lncRNA from 1 species